UACGUAGGGUGCGAGCGUUGUCCGGAAUUAUUGGGCGUAAAGGGCUCGUAGGCGGUUUGUCGCGUCGGGAGUGAAAACCCGGGGCUCAACCCCGGGCCUGCAGUCGAUACGGGCAGACUAGAGUUCGGCAGGGGAGACUGGAAUUCCUGGUGUAGCGGUGAAAUGCGCAGAUAUCAGGAGGAACACCGGUGGCGAAGGCGGCGUUCUGGACCAUUACUGACACUGAAUCGCGAAAGCUAGGGGAGCAAACGGG
rnacentral:rRNA from 1 species